UCAUGGCUCAGGACGAACGCUGGCGGCGUGCCUAACACAUGCAAGUCGAACGGAGACAAUCGCUGAUUUGAUGGUAGCUUGCUACUGGAUUUUCUUGGUUGUCUUAGUGGCGGACGGGCGAGUAACGCGUGAGCAACCUGCCUUUCAGUGGGGAAUAACGUUUGGAAACGAACGCUAAUACCGCAUAACAUAACGAGGUCGCAUGGCUUUGUUAUCAAAGGAGCAAUCCGCUGAGAGAUGGGCUCGCGUCCGAUUAGCUAGAUGGUGAGGUAACGGCCCACCAUGGCGACGAUCGGUAGCCGAACUGAGAGGUUGAUCGGCCGCAUUGGGACUGAGACACGGCCCAGACUCCUACGGGAGGCAGCAGUGGGGGAUAUUGCACAAUGGGGGAAACCCUGAUGCAGCAACGCCGCGUGAGGGAAGAAGGUCUUCGGAUUGUAAACCUAAGUUGUCAGGGACGAACAAAAUGACGGUACCUGAAGAGAAAGCUCCGGCUAACUACGUGCCAGCAGCCGCGGUAAUACGUAGGGAGCGAGCGUUGUCCGGAUUUACUGGGUGUAAAGGGUGCGUAGGCGGGUUUGCAAGUCAGGCGUGAAAUACCGAGGCUUAACUUCGGGGCUGCGCUUGAAACUGUAGAUCUUGAGUGAAGUAGAGGCAAGCGGAAUUCCUAGUGUAGCGGUGAAAUGCGUAGAUAUUAGGAGGAACACCAGUGGCGAAGGCGGCUUGCUGGGCUUUAACUGACGCUGAGGCACGAAAGCGUGGGGAGCAAACAGGAUUAGAUACCCUGGUAGUCCACGCCGUAAACGAUGAUAGCUAGGUGUGGGGGGACUGACCCCCUCCGUGCCGGAGUAAACACAAUAAGCUAUCCACCU
rnacentral:rRNA from 1 species